rnacentral:rRNA from 1 species
UNNNGNAACNCGGCGNGCAUUUUUAUGCAAGUNNCACGAUGAACCACUUCGGUGGGGAUUAGUGGCGANCGGGUGAGUAACACGUGGGCAAUCUGCCCUUCACUCUGGGACAAGCCCUGGAAACGGGGUCUAAUACCGGAUACAACCACUACAGGCAUCUGUGGGUGGUGGAAAGCUCCGGCGGUGAAGGAUGAGCCCGCGGCCUAUCAGCUUGUUGGUGAGGUAACGGCUCACCAAGGCGACGACGGGUAGCCGGCCUGAGAGGGCGACCGGCCACACUGGGACUGAGACACGGCCCAGACUCCUACGGGAGGCAGCAGUGGGGAAUAUUGCACAAUGGGCGAAAGCCUGAUGCAGCGACGCCGCGUGAGGGAUGACGGCCUUCGGGUUGUAAACCUCUUUCAGCAGGGAAGAAGCGAAAGUGACGGUACCUGCAGAAGAAGCGCCGGCUAACUACGUGCCAGCAGCCGCGGUAAUACGUAGGGCGCGAGCGUUGUCCGGAAUUAUUGGGCGUAAAGAGCUCGUAGGCGGUCUGUCGCGUCGGAUGUGAAAGCCCGGGGCUUAACCCCGGGUCUGCAUUCGAUACGGGCAGACUAGAGUGUGGUAGGGGAGAUCGGAAUUCCUGGUGUAGCGGUGAAAUGCGCAGAUAUCAGGAGGAACACCGGUGGCGAAGGCNGGAUCUCUGGGCCAUUACUGACGCUGGAGGANCGAAAGCNUGGGGAGCCAACANGAUUAGAUACCCUGNUAUUCNCNCCGUAACCGUGGNACUAGGUGUUGGCGACUUNCACCUUUCGGUGCCCAGNUACGCAUUANUUCCCGCUGGGAGUCGGCCNANGNUAAACNCANGANUGCGGGGCCGCCACNCNGACUGUGCUUAUCACCNACCGAAACUACAGUUGAAUUCCCGAACUAAANGUNCCNUUGCGGGAAGGGGCUGUUCCNCNUUCUGAAUUGAAUCCCNACCCCUUUUUNCCNCUUGGUGANNAACCGNNUUGAGGGNUANUNCUUUUUCCUCUNNNAUUACGGGAAAAUUUUGUCUCCNANUUCAAUGGACCNCCCCNNCACCC